rnacentral:rRNA from 1 species
AUGCAUGUCUAAGCAUGAGCCGAAUUAUGGUGAAGCCGCGAAUGGCUCAUUACAACAGCCGUUGUUUCUUGGAUCUUGAUUUACUUGGAUAACUGUGGUAAUUCUAGAGCUAAUACAUGCAACCAAGCUCCGACCUUGCGGAAGGAGCGCAUUUAUUAGACCAAGACCAAUCGGGCUCUGCCUGACUUUUGGUGACUCUGAAUAACUUUGCUGAUCACACGGUCUAGCACCGGUGACAUAUCUUUCAAGUGUCUGCCCUAUCAACUUUCGAUGGUAGUUUAUGUGCCUACCAUGGUUGUAACGGGUAACGGAGAAUAAGGGUUCGACUCCGGAGAGGGAGCCUGAGAAAUGGCUACCACAUCCAAGGAAGGCAGCAGGCGCGCAAAUUACCCAAUCUCAGUUUGAGGAGGUAGUGACGAAAAAUAACGAGACGGUUCUCUAUGAGGCCCGUCAUCGGAAUGAGUACAAUUUAAACCCUUUAAUGAGGAUCUAUUGGAGGGCAAGUCUGGUGCCAGCAGCCGCGGUAAUUCCAGCUCCAAUAGCAUAUGCCAAUUCUGUUGCUGUUAAAAAGCUCGUAGUUGGAUCUUUUCCGAGGAGCCAGUCUGCCUCAAGGGUACGUACUGGUUUCCGAGGAUUUUUCUGUCGGUUUUCCCGCGGUGCUCUUCACCGGGUGUCGCGGGUGGCUGGCGCUAUUACUUUGAAAAAAUUAGAGUGCUCAAAACAGGCGUUACUGCCCGAAUAGUGGUGCAUGGAAUAAUGGAAUAGGAUCUCGGUUCUAUUUUGUUGGUUUUAGGAGUGUGAGAUAAUGAUUAAGAGGGACAGACGGGGGCAUUCGUAUUGCGGCGUUAGAGGUGAAAUUCUUGGAUCGCCGCAAGACGAACAACUGCGAA